UAGGGAAUCUUCCACAAUGGGCGCAAGCCUGAUGGAGCAACACCGCGUGAGUGAAGAAGGGUUUCGGCUCGUAAAGCUCUGUUGUUAAAGAAGAACACGUAAGAGAGUAACUGUUCAUACGUUGACGGUAUUUAACCAGAAAGUCACGGCUAACUACGUGCCAC
rnacentral:rRNA from 1 species